UUUUUUUUUUGAACUUUAUUAUUUCAUUUAUUUUCAUUCUUUAUAUAAUCUAAAUCUACUAAUUAAUUUGAUUUUGCAAUAAGAAAGAAGAUUUUCAGGCAUUGAAGUUAAGAAAGUUAGUCGGACUCUGUUCAUCUAUAUUUCUGGCCACUUUGAACCGACAUCACCACACAAAUUAAAAUAUAAGUUAAUUAAGCUUAUUGACAAUGAUAUAUUAAAAUUUUGUAGAAUUAAUUUGAGUAUUCUCGAUUUCUUAUCGUCGUUAAUUUCAAAAUGAUUACAUUCAUUUAUUUUUCAGAGGCAUCUCAAAAAUCAUUUUUCUAAGCUACAGAUUAUUCACGAAUAGAUUUAAUCUCCAUAAUUUAUAGAAAUAAUAAGAAGAAAAACAAAAAGUAAUCUGUCAAAGUAGUCGAGAACGGCGAGUGCCUAAGGAAGAAGAAGAAUGGGCAAAAGCUUUAGUAGGUGGGGUUGAAUUAUUUAGGGUUGAAAACAAUACUUAUUUUUUUAUCUUUCAAAAUUAUAAAAUAAUUUUUUUAUAGUUAGAUUGGGCAAUAGGCCAUGGGCCAGGUGUCAUAAUUUUAUUCGUAACUAUUUUAAGCUACGGAAUGUGAGUUACAUGCAUAGGGUUUUAUGUAUUGAUUGUCAUUUUGUGUCUAAUAGAUAUAUAUUUGUUAAUAUUAAAGUGUCUAAUAGGUAUUAGCCUUAGUUGAGGUGUCUAAGUGAAAUAUGCGGACAACUUUAAGGGGUCAUGGAUGACUUAAGCCAAAAAAAAAGCAAAUACAUCAUUACCCCAUUCAACUAUAACACUUUUUUAAAAAAGACACCGAAACUUUGCAAAGGUCCUAGUUAAACAAUUUAAAAGUGGUAAAACUAUUUCAUUUUUCCAUCAACCCCAAGUAUAAGAAAGGAAGUGCAUACACGCACCAAUUAAUACUCACCACGUGUCAAUCAGGUUAAUUUUAAAUUUUUAUUUUCAUAUAUAUUAUUUCUUAUUCAUUUUCUAAAAAAAUAAUAAGUAAAUUGUCUUUUCUUUUUCUUCAACAAUAUUUCAACAGCGGUAGUGGUCGUUCUCUUCACUACCGUCGGCAUUCUCUUGCUUUGCCACCACUGCUAUAACAUCAAUAACACAUCUCAACAAUGGCUAAGCAAAUCUGUAGGAGCAAAAUUUCUUCUAUUUUCUCCAAUGGAUAAUCUUCUUUUUGUGUAUUUUGCCUUUGAUUUUUGCUCGAAAUCAAGAUGCUUUGUAUCGAUAAAGACUAGAAGUCUCUCUCUAAUUUUAUAUAGUGUAUUUACUACUUCGUUUGAACAUGACCCUUGGCGAUUCUCUCUCCGUUGUGCGCCGACGUCGUCAAUCUCUCUAGCGCUUCUUUCCGAUUUCCCCCCACCACCUCACUCUGCUUCCAUCUCUUUCUCUUUUCAAUAAUCUCAUCAAUUUUCUUCAAAGCUUUGGAGUGGAAAUUUUCUAUGGCCUCCAAUUUAUCUUCCAGUGCAAGAAUUGCAGCUUGUUCAUCGGAGUGCUGAUAGGUCUCAAUUGUCAAAAAAAAAUAAAACUAUUUUUCAUCAAAAAUACAAUAAAACAAAUAGAGUAAAAAGAAAAUCAUAUUUCUAAUUAAAUAAUUACUAAAAUAAUUAAAAUAAUAUUUUUUUGUUUAUCUCACUCGCCACUUGCAAGUGAAAUACACUUUGUGUGCCACAUAGGAUCAUAAGGGGGUAAUUAAUCCACUGUGAAAAAGAAUAAGGGGGUACUAGGACCCUUUGAAAGUUCAAGUGUCUUUUUUUUUAAAGUGUUAUAGUUGAAUGGGGUAAUGAUGUAUUUUCUCAAAAAAAAAGUGACAACUUUGACUAGCUAGAACCCAUUUGGAUUAGCUAGUUACAAAUCCUAGAUACUAAGUUAGUGCAUUUAUGAGCUCUUUUUGAAGGAGUGUAACAUAUCUAUCCUCUUCCUAAUCUCCCUUUGGAUCUGUGCUAUAACAAAACUUGUAUUUACAUGUAAGUUUUUGAAAAUCUUCAUGUUUCAUGCUCGCUAAGUGUGAUAAAUCAUAGCACCAUAAAUUAUCGUAGCUACUUCCUUUUGGAACCUCUUCCAUCUUUUUCUCUGGAACCAUUGCAGAUUUUGUAUCACUCCCCUCUGUUGCAAGUACAGGCCUGACCUUGUAGAGAGAGAGCGAUCCUUACUUUCGAUAUCCGGCGACAUCUAGCAAGCAAAUGAAUCUGAGUCUCUAUUUCAUCUUCCGCACACAAGCAGCAUGUAAAGUCAUCAACUAAAAUGUUGAAUCUGUUCAUUCUUUCCUUGGUAAGUAUCCUAUCUCUGGAAAGCAAUCCAUAGGAUCAUUCUAUACUUUGGCAGCAUCAUUGAAUUUCAUAUAAGCUCUGCUUCUUUCACUCUAGGCAAUUGACCAAGUAAAGCGAAAUAACUCUUAGACACCGAGUAAUUAUCAGAAAGGAAGAGAUGGUAACUUUCCCUACUAUACCAAUGAAUCAUCUACUCCUUUAGUGAGUUCAGCUUCCUCAAGUAUCAACUAUUGUCCGUAGAUUGACAAAGAUUACAUAUUUGUACACCAUCCUUUAUGUAAAUUCCAUGAAUGCAUUUAACCCACAAUAAGUCUUGUUUUGUAGCCAAUUGUCAUAUCAAUUUUCCAACAGAGGCAAUAUUUAGCUCUUGCAGCUUCUAAUGUUUAGGGCACCACAUUUCUUAGGAGUACAAAUUUUCUUCCAUGCUACUAGCGUUAUUUUCCUCUUUUCAUCAGUUUUCCCCCACAAAUAAUUCCUGCAUUCUUGUCUACUUCCUUCAAUACACUUUGAGGUAGUAUAAACACAGUCCCCCAAAAAUUAUAGAUAGAAAAUAAGACAACAUUUAUGAUUUGAAGUCGACCAGAAUAAGACAGUUGUCUAGAAUAAAAUGUGAUUCUGGAGAUUACCUUUUCAAUUAACUGAUGACACUUCAUUUUACUCCAUUUCUUUGAGGACAAAGGUAGGCAUUUUAACUUAUUUUAAGUUAUUUUUAACAUUACCAAACACUUCCUAACUUAUUUUUAGUCAUUUUUUGACUUAUUUUACGUUGUUUUUAUAUUUGUCAACACUUUCAGAAGUCAAAUAACGACUUAUAAGUAGGUUUAAUCAACUUUUAAGUCAAUUCAAACACACUCUAAAGCUUCUACUAGUAAAGGAUUAAGUUAAGUAAACAAUAAAUGUAUUUCUUAAAACUUAAUAAAAUACAAAAAUAAUCCCCUCUUGACCUCUCCACAGGGAAUUGGAAAUUCAAAUUUAUUUUAUUCUUCUUCCACUUAGAAUUUAAAGUCAAAGAAGGAAACUUCUCAAUUUCGUUUUCAUCUUCUUCGUUUCAUUUUUCUUUUUGUGUUCGUCGUCGUCGUGAUCGUCUUGCUACUCUACUGCUAGGGUUUCAACAGUUUUUAAAAAUAAUAUUUUUUUUUCUUUUUCUCAUAGUCAGGAUUUCGAUUCUUCUUGUGAAAAUGGUGUUUAGGUUAAAAAAGAUAAUAACAUACAUGAAUUUCACGAAUUUUGUUGUUGCAUGCCCUAAUAAAUAUGUUCUUGGGUUGUUUGGUGUUUUUUUAAAUAUGUUGUUGUACUCUUUGUGAGAAAAUAUGUUGUUCUUGAAGUUAUUGUACUCUUUGUGAGAAAAAAAUAUAUUCUUAUAGUUGAUGGUGGAUUGGUGUUGAUGGUUGGUUCCUCAGAUCUUGUUGUGAACAAAUGAAGUAGUUGCUAAAGUAUUUAUAACAACAACUGAACUUUCUGAAAUAGUUGAGUGAAGUUGUAGAAAGUUGUUUCACUCAACUGUAGUAAAUUAAAGAAGAAGAAAAAGAACACAAUUUUCUUAGAUUGCUCAUGUAGUGAUGUGUUCUUAAAUAUGUUGUUCGUGAUUGUUGUUAUAUUCUUUGUGAGAGAAAAAAUAUGCUCUUGUCAUUGGUGUUGGUAAUUGGUUGUUAUUCUGUAUUGAGCUUGAAUAUUGUACAUUUGUUGCAAUAACCUCAAAACUUGAUGUGAAUAGAUGAAGUAGUUGCUGAAGUUGCUAUAACAAGUAUGCUGAAUUUCUAAAUUUGUUGCAGUUGCUGCUAAAGUAUAUACAACAACUACUUAAGUCUAUGGUGCAAUUGUUAGAAUUUUUAUAGCGAUUUAAACAUUAAUUGCAAUAGUUGCUUCAUUAACUCCAACAAUUACUUCAUAUGUCUCUUUAUUUGGAAUUAUUUAUUAAAUUAAUAUAUUAUCUAUAUUUUAUGUUACAUGUGUAAAUAGAGUGGCUCGGAGAAAAAAGAAAAAAUUCUAGAGAUUAGGGAUGGGCAUUUGAUAGAUCGGUUCGGUUUCAAUUUAUUUAUUUAUUUCAAUUUUCGAUAAUUGAGUUUUUUGUACCAAACACUGAACCGAAUUAAUUCGGUUCGAUUUGAUUUUUUGUAAUACAGUUUAGUUCGAUUCGAUUUAUUAAAUUUGGUUUUUAAUGAUGUAGUAUUGUAGUUCGCUGGUGUUAGAUCACAUUAGGUACAGGCAGACGACGAUGGCCGACGGACGGACGCUGCAAAAUGCUGGAGCCUAAGGGGUGCUAAGGGCAGAUUGAAACUUUUGAACGAAAAGUAAAAGGACAAAAAAUUUGAAACGGAAAGUAAAAAUUUGGAACGGACGCAACAACUUGGAGAUGAAAGAGGAGGUGCGGCGGCUGGGUAGAUUGAAAAUUUGAAACGAAAAGUAAAAAAAAAAUCAAAAAUGAAAACCUAAGGGGUGCUACAGGGAAGAAAAUGAAAUAUAGUUAGUAGUUACUAGUUAGUACCAGUAGUUAGUAGAAAUUAGAAAAAAUAUAAUAUAUUAUUAAUAAUUAAAUAAUAUCUAAAAUAGUAAUGCAUAAAUUUUGGUUAAACCGAAAUACAAAAAUUGUGUACCAAAAACUGAAUCAAAAAACCAAAGUAACAAAAAAUAUGAAUCGAUACCGAAUCGAAAAUCCGAAAAAUUGAAACUGAAAAUUGGAAAAAAUUUAAUCUGAUUCAGUGUAUCAAUUUUUCGGUAUUUAUUCCCACCCCUACUAGAGAUGAUGUUCCUACUAGAAUCUCAAAAAAAAUAAAUGAAGUAAUACAUAAAGAGAGGUUGAAGAACAACAAAACAAUGAUAUAAAUGAAACACAAUUGACAAAUCUUGUUGAGCAUAUCAAACCCUAAGCAACUAGAUAAGGGUCUGGAGGAGGAGGGGGAAUAGGAGGAGGAGGAGAAGAUCUUGUUGAGCAUAUCAUUGUUGAAAGUAUCUUGUUGAGCAUAUCAUUGUUGAGAAUUAGACAACGUCAAACCCUAGGCAAUUAAAUGAGGGUCUGGAGCGGUCAACAACAGUAGGAGGAGGAGUCUGGAAGAAGAGAUGAUUCUUUCAAAGAUGUAGAUGAUUCUGAUUUUGCUGAUAAUUUAAAGAAUAUUGAAGAUAAUGGUGAAGUUGCACAAGAUGAGGUUAGAUAAAAAAGACGUUAUGAUAAACCUGUACCGUAGCUUCCACUGACCAGUCCUUCAUCUGUCAGUCCUUCUGCUACUAAUCCUUCAAUAGUUGUCAGUCCUUCCGCUGUCAUUCCUUUUGUCGAUGGUCUUUUAGUUGUUAGUCCUUCCAUUGUUGAUCCUUCUUUCGCAAGAUCUUCAGUUGUUAGCCCCUUCAAUUGUUGAUCUUUCAAUCAAAUUUGUCAAGUCUAUUAAGUAUUUAUCUUAUGGCUUUGAGACACCUAAGGAUACUCAUCCAAAUAUGAUUGGUGAUGUUGUAGUAAGAUCAUAAAUGAAAAAAAUCGUUUAAUAAUUUUAGAAAAAUGUUGAAUAAACAAAAUUUGAAAAAAUUCUUUAGAUCUACGAUUUUUGAAAAAUAUCUAGACCUAGAUGAAAGUAUGAAUGCUCAAUUUCAAAUGAAGUUGGUAAUCAACUUCUUCAAUGCUAGAUUAAACGUGAGAGAACAAAUGAGUAUUGGAUAAAUUAUUACGGCAUAUCUGUUUAUUUUGGCACGAAAGAGUUCACCAUUAUAACUGAUUUGAACUUUCACUUACUUCAUCAUUAUGUCAUCUAGUCAACUAAGAUAGACAGAAGAUAUCAACAAAUUAUUGAUACGAUGGGAAAGAAGUAUUGAAUAUGAAAGUAAUUGCUUGAGCUUUUGAAGUCUAAGAAGAUUUUAAAAAGUAUGUGUCACGACCCGGGAGCAUCCCCUAGUCGUAACCGGCGUACUCGACCUCGAAGAGGUCUAAUACAAGCCUCUUAGCAUUCAUUCAUCGCAUAGACACUAAAACCAUAAGGAAUUUAAAACUUUCUUUACCAAGAAAACAUUGCAUAAAAAAAAUAGCAAGCGGAAGACUUUCUAGACUUUAUACAUGAUGUCUCAAAACCAUCUAAUACUUUAGAGUACAAAAUUCGGGACUAAUCCCGUACACAACUUAAACAAUACUAAAAGACAAAAGAACAUAUUGGGUAUUGUCCUCGAAUCUAUGAGGACUCACCAAGUCUUCAUCUUCAACACUUAGAAACCUAUCAAAUAGCCAUGACAUGUCAUCAUCUCCAAAUCCCUACACUUUAGUCCAAAAAGGGAAAGAAAGGGGUUAGCACAAUUAAGUACUAAGUAUGGAAGCCAUGCAAAAACAUGCUAAAAGGGACGUUUAUUGGAGAAACAUGCUUUUAUGCCAUUUGGUAAAACUUCAUGAAAAAAAAUACAAGUAAGCCUUUUCAUCAUUUCUUGACCUCUAUCUCAAGUUACCCAAAGCCACACUUAAGUGAAACAUGAAGUGACCGCCCAUACAAUCUCUUCAUAUACACCUAAGUAUUCCUAAGGGUUACCAUAGAUAAGGAAAUUUACCAUUACAAUAUAACAUACUAAGUCAAUGUUCACAUAUAAAACCAUAGCCAACCGUAUACAUACUCAACAUAUAUUCAUAUACAACCCAUGCUUAACUUUAAAAGAACACAUGCCAUUUCAUUACCAUAGGACCUCUACCUAAUAUAACCUUAAGACACACUUGAGUAAGACAAGAAGUGACCGCCCAUACAACCUCUUCAAGCACACUUAAGUGUUCCCCAAGAUUACCUUAGAUAAGGACAUUUCCUUUACAACAUAACAUCAAUAGACCAACAUUCUUUAAGAAACCAUUUUUGGAGACAUUCAAGCACAUAAGGGGACUUUCACAUAAUAGUCGUUAGACUUAGGGAACUCACUUUAGUAUCUUCAAAGCCUACUCGUGCCAUGUGUAGAUAGCAUCCCAUACUACUACCUACACUUUGUAGAACCUAUCAAGAAACCAUAAUGAAAUCUCACAUGAUGGGAAGUAAGCAUUUAACCGACAUAGACCAUGAGAGCUUGUCAUGGAAUCCGGUGUCAUGAGUCCCCACACCGAAAAGAGGUGGUCUACUUGCCUAAGGAAGACCGGUAUAUAUAGCUUAAUGGAUCCACUAGCUUCCUAUGCGGGCACAUAGUUUAUGGGAUAAGGUAGACGAUCAUUGAAACUCAUGCCUAACUGUCGGGGGAGUUUCCAUCUAACCAAAUCCGCUCGGUGCUUAGCCUACAUUCCCAUAGAAUAGUUCAUUACUUUGACAUCAUCACACAUGAAAGGGUGCCAUAAGCCUACCGAUUCAAGGUACAUUAUUUAACACAUGAAAGGGUGCCAUAAGCCUACCGAUUCAAGGUACAUUAUUUAACACAUGAAAGGGUGCCAUAAGCCUACCGAUUCAAGGUACAUUAUUUAACACAUGAAAGGGUGCCAUAAGCCUACCGAUUCAAGGUACAUUAUUUAACACAUGAAAGGGUGCCAUAAGCCUACCGAUUCAAGGUACAUUAUUUAACACAUGAAAGGGUGCCAUAAGCCUACCGAUUCAAGGUACAUUAUUUAACACAUGAAAGGGUGCCAUAAGCCUACCGAUUCAAGGUACAUUAUUUAACACAUGAAAGGGUGCCAUAAGCCUACCGAUUCAAGGUACAUUAUUUAACACAUGAAAGGGUGCCAUAAGCCUACCGAUUCAAGGUACAUUAUUUAACACAUGAAAGGGUGCCAUAAGCCUACCGAUUCAAGGUACAUUAUUUAACACAUGAAAGGGUGCCAUAAGCCUGCCGAUUCCAAGGUUCAUCAUUAACCUUUAUGGAAAGGUGCCAUAGGCCUACCGAAUCCAAGGUUCAUUACUUAUCAUUAAUGGAAGGGUGCCAUUAGCCUACCGAUCCAAGGUUCAUUAUAAGCAUGUGUGGAAGGGUGCCAUAAGCCUACCGAUCCAAGGAUGUCAAAUUGAGAAAUAAUCUUUCAAUAGUAACACAUUUACAUUCAUAACAUGAUCACAUUAUCUUCAUUGAACUCUCAUUCAUACAAUGUCAUGAUAACACUUCAAUUUCUCAUACUAUGCCUUCAAGGCCAUGGUCACAAUACAUUCCAUAAUUAAACACCUCCACCAUAAGUGGAUCAAACCAAGCAAGAACAAUUUUUUAUCCAUAAUAUGAGAUUAAGCCAACUUACCAUCCUCCAAAGCCAUAAUCAACAACACUCAAGUCCCAACCAUUUUUCUUACCACAAGAGAAUUCAUCCAUAACUUGCCCGUAAGGCCACAACUUUCAAUUCAUCCAUACAUCAUCAAUUCAUCAUAGAUAGAUGUAGAACAACAAUCCUCAAUUCAUCCAUAUACCAACAAUUCAUCAUAAAUAGAUAUACAAAACCAUAUAAAUCAACAAUACAAUCCGAUCUAAACACAAUUUCAUCAACAUUAAAUCAUAGGCAUUAAACCCACUUCAUAAGCAAAUUCUAGGCUUUUAAUGAAAACAUGGGUUCUUGAAGAAGUUUCAUAUAAAAUCAUCUUAAAAUCAUAAAUAGAACUUCAAUUCACCAAUAUAAUGACUUUGAAAACAUUUUUCCCAUGAACCCAUACCUAGAAUAGAAAAUAGAAGUUUUGUUCUUUGAAGACUUUUGAAACCCUUUUUAAUGGACUCCUUGAAUGAAAGAUAAUCAAGGAUCAAGGGUCACCAUACCUUUGUUAAGAUUCCCCAAGAAAAUUGAUGAAGAAACCACCUUCAAUCCAAGUCCUAGCUCCAAGUUCUUGACCUUCUUAAAAUGGAGGAUUGUAGAGAGAAAAGUAUUUGAGAGGAGGUGAGUUCUUUUUAAUUCUAAUUAGAGUGACUUAAAAUGGAAGAAUUUGGUCUAGAAGGGUUUUAUAAUUGCUAGGAAAGGCAUAUAAUAAAAGGGGCUCAACUUAGGAAAAGAAAUAAGGACCCAUUUAAAAGUUUCCACUAAACCCGUCUAAGCUCGUCCUUGCUGACAGUGCUUCACUAUUUUGGGCAUAACUUUUUACUCCGAGAUCGGAAAAGGGAAAACUCGGUGGCGUUGGAAAGAGGACUCAGAGACCUUUAAUUGGAUAGGUAAUGUCCCACCUAAUUCGUUUUGAUCUAAAAGAUAUGACCAUUUAAAGUUGACCCUCACUCCUAACUUAAAACUAAAAAACUGUUUUUAGGGGACUGUUUUGAGGGUCUCGGUUCUAAAUGAUUUCAUGACCUAGCUUAAGGUCUUGCUAGCUUAUAAAGGUGAUUAAUCAACUAGCUAAUCAACCCCUUAAGUCCUUUAACAACACUCCAAACUUCAACAACAAGACCCUUACAACUCACUAGUUCGAACGACUAGUUUCCGGACGUCACGGUCAUUUCUCAUCAUUUCAUCAAGUUCUCAACUCCAAAUUCAUAUGUGAGGCUCUAGUUUCACUAGUUCGUUUUUAGGGUCGUUACAGUAUGAAAAAGUCAGUAUACUCAAUUUUUUUAUGCACUGUAUUCAUUAUGGUAACGAUCCUGAGACAAAUGUUUAUGAUGCUUGGUUUAAGAUCUUAGCUAACCAUAAACGUUUUGUGCUUAUCCAUGAGAUCGAGAAAGGUAUUCUCUCACAUUAAAGUAUCUAAGAAAAGUUGUGAGUUCAACUGUUAAGACCAACAAUCUCUAUGGUGUUUCAUGCACUUUCACGGUAAAUUUUAUUUAUUACUCCCUUCGUCCCAUUUUAUGUGAGGUAGUUUUACUCGGCAUGGAGUUUAAGAAAGAAAGGAAGACUUUUAAAACUUGUUGUCCAAAAUGAAUGAUAGAAAUUUGUGUGACUGUAAAUCAUUUCAUUAAGGAUAAAAUAGAUAUUUUAUAGUUAAAUUGUUACUUAAUAUAGAAAUGUGUCAUUCUUUUUGGGACUGACUAAAAAGGAAAGUAAGUCACAUAAAUUGGGACAGAGAGAGUAUUUUUUUACUAUUAAAAUAUUUAUAUUUUAUUUAUUGUCUCUCUGAUCAUUUAUGAUAUUAUUUUAUUUACACUCCGAUAUUUGAAGUCAUUCCUUACAUUCAGAAACAAUUUAAGGAUUUUGAUGAAGAAGUGUCGUCUCCAAGGAUUCUUAGAUGGUUGAUGAUGAUCAAUAACAAUAAAAUUGAGACUCGUGAAUUAUUGGAUCUCCCAAAAAGACUCGGUAAGACGCAUUCUAUUACUGUUGUUGUUUGCAUAAGUUGCUGUAAUUAUUUAGCAUUUGCUAAAAUAUCUUAAGAACUCUUGAAAUUGACUGUUAAAACUUAUCUGACGAUUGCAGUUGUUUGCAACAGUUAUUGCACGUGCUUCAACAUUUGUUGAAACUAUACAACAACUUUGGGGUGUCAAAAGAAUAUGAAAAAUCGACCAAAUCGAACCAAUUUUAAUCGAUUUAUGUCAUUUUAAAGUAAAACUAUGGACUUUUAUUUAAGUGCAUAAUUGUCCUGAACAAUUAGGAUGGUCUUUUUAAUUUAUGAAAAAAUUGUCAACAUUUCGAACUAAACUGAAUAACCUUACGUGUAUGUUAAUAUAUUUUAUAUAUUAACAAUACGUUAAAUUUAAUAUAUAAAUAUAUUUUAUAACAUAUGUUAAAUAUAAAUAUAACAUAGGCCCUACGCCACAAGUGACUGGAUGACUUUGGAUAUUUUCUCUUUAAUUAAUCUUUAAUUAAUUAGGUUUAAAAUUAUUCGAUUCUAUAAUAGAUACUCUAUCAAACAACUUCCUCAUUCUUCUCCAAUUAUCACACUAAAUUUAUUCUUUACUUUCAAAAGAAAUAAUCAUAAAUUUGAUUUUUUUUAAUAACUUCCCAUAUCAUUUUAAUACUACAUAGUCUUAUUCUUUGUAAAUCAAAACAAUAGAAAGAAAGAACUAACACUUUAUAGUGGCUGCCAUUUCCACAAUUCACAAAUUGACCGUCGAUCAUGGUAUGUUGAGCUCCUUCAAGAAAUAAGAUUUAAUUCUUAUUUCACUUUAUAGUGGCUGUCAUUUCCACAAUUCACAAAUUGACCGCCGAUCUUUGGUAUGUUGAGCUCCUUCAAGAAAUAAGAUUUAAUUCUUAUUUGUUCGAUUUUGUAACAAUAUUUACUGAUUUAAAGGAUCAAAUCAUACAAAUAUAUUCUAAUAAAUUCAUUUAUACAAACGAAUCAAAAUAUUGAUUUUUCAAGUUGAUACAGUAAAUUAUCUCUUGCAAUGAUUGAUAAAUUUUAUAUUGACCUGUAGAUAGGGGUGUACAAGUCAAACCGUAAAAUCAAACCAAACCGACGAACCGAAUCAAACUGGAAAAAAAUCGAUUUGUGGUUUGGUUUGGUUGGUUUGGCAGUUGAAAAAAAAAUGACCACUCUUGGUUUGGUUUGGUAUUAAAAGAAAAUAAGUCAAACCAUUCAUUCAAUAUAAUUUUAUUUUAUUUAUAGAUAAAAAAAUGUUAUUUAUAAUCUACUUUGUUAAUAUAUUUUUAGUUAGUUUAUAGUUUUCAAUGUUUAUAUAUUUUAUUUCAAAUUUGGGCUUGUAAAAUUUGUAAAUAUUUUAUUUUGUAUUAAGGUCCGAAGUUAUAAUUAUAUUGUUAUAGUUUUUCAAAUUCGAAGUUAACAAUUUACUUUGUAAAUAUUUUGUUUUGUAUUCAGUUUGACUAUAUCCUUUAAUCUUAUUAAUAUAACAUAAUUAACGUUGAUAUUUCAAAAAAAAAUAUUUUGUACUCAUGUGAAUUUUAACCGUCUUUACGAAAAUUUCUAUUCAUUUAACAUUUCUUAAGUUUAGCUUAUCACACAGGUAAGUGAAAAUAUAUUUGAUCUCUUUUUCAAACACCGUAUAGUUGUAAAACAACCGAAAAAACCGAAAGAAUCGAUUAAAACCGAAACCGAAAAAACCAACUUUGCGUGGUUUGAUUUUUUUUUAGAUUUAAUAAACCGACAUAAUUGGUUUAGGUUUUUUUUAAUGAAAAACCAAACCAAACCGACCUAUGUACACCCCUACCUGUAGAUAUGUUCUCUCCUCUCAUGCCUAAUUUUAUACUUUUUUUUAUUAAUUUAUUGCAAUAAGCUCUUCAUAAUUGUUAUAAUAUUUCAUUUGCUAUUACAACAAUAAAUAUAUUCUUUAUGUUUAAACUUUUCAUUUUUCUCUUUAAUGCCAUGUUAAUAGAUGAAUAGGAGGAAUUUAAUACAUAUUUUUAAUGUAAAAAAAUAAAGGAAAAAUUCAGAAUAUUUGAAUUUUUCAUUAUCCUCUUUAAUUGCAUGUUAAUAAAUGAAUAGGAGGAAUUUAAUAUAAUUUUUUAUGUAAAGAAAUGAAGGAAAAAAUUAAAAAUUGAGAAAAAAGAAUAAAUAGAUAUAUUGAUCAUAGAGAGGUGUCACAUCACAUUCUUUAUGUUUAGCUUUAUAAUAUAUAUAUAUAUAUAUAUAUAUAUUUGAAAAGAAUUUAGGUAAAAAAAUUAAUGUGAAAAAAAUUUGACUCAUGUGAGAUAGAUCAGUUUUCAUCAAUGAUUUGUUAGACAUAUUUUGUAGUUUUCAAUUUUUCUUAUAUGGAGUAGGUAAUAGGAUAAAGAAUGAAACACAAAAAAGAGAGGGCACAUCGGUGGAUCUGCUAGAACCAGAACCAGGACAUGUGCCGCCUGCUAUUCAAGUAGCUCCCCGGGGGAACGAAGCUGGUCCAUCGAAUCAGCCCCCACAAGUGGUCCCCUAUCCUUAUCAAUUGGAUACACUAGAAGUUUUCCUUCAUCCUUUGGGAAUCAAGUCAUUCAAUGAAUGAAAAGUGAAAAACCUGUAGAUAAAUGCUUUAUACAGAUGACGAUAAGACUUUCCAAUCAGUAGCUGGGCUAGGGCAACCUGGGUGAAGGAUAUGUAGGAAUGUUGCAUUUUCCCUUUUCUUUUUUUCUUUUUUCUCUUUUUCCUUUUUUUCUUCUUUGCUUCACUCUUUUCCCUCUAGGCCCUACUCGAUAACUUUCCAUCACCAUUUUUUUUCUUCUCCUCUUGAUCAACCUUUAUAAAAAUAUUUUAAUUUUUUUUACAUAUUACACAAUUUUUAUAAUUUGUCUACAAAGAAUGAAAUAAAGAGGAAUUAUUCUUCAAAUUGUAUAUUAAGAUAAAAUAAUGUCACGAUCCAAAAUUGAAGUCAUAAUGGCACCUACUAAAACUCACCAAUAGGUAAGCCUAACCCUUAGCCCGAAACCAACGAUAACCGAUAACAGUCCUAGGAAGCAGAAGAGGUAGAAAGAAACAAUUAAACCCUUUCACGAAAAAACAAUUAAAGCCUUUCAGGAAGAAACAAUUGAAGCCUUACAGGAAGAAACAACAAAUCUCGAGAUAAAACUAGUGGAUGCCAGUAUAUAUAUAUAUAUAUAUAUACCACCAAAAACCUGGUGGAUGUACUAUAAAGCUACUACAAAAUAGAGUAGAGACUAAACAUAUACAACAAACAGUUGCCACGAGAUACAAAUACUAACCAAAACAUAUACAUACAGAUGGAGAUGGUUCGAUUCUGAUCGGCAAUAAGCUUAUCCUCUGUCUCCGAAAUAUUAACAUCAACAACACAAGGAUCACCGGGGGUGAUUGGAGAUCAAAUCUAUAUUGGGGAACAAGAUGCAGAGUGCAAUAUGAGUACCAAAACAACAUGUACUCAGUAGAUAGUAGACAUCAUAGGCUGAUCAAGCUUGCAAUUGUAAUAACAGGAUAAAAGGCGAGUACAGUAAGGUAACAUGACAAAAAUAAAGGCAUAACUAGAUAUGCAUUGAAGUAAAUCUACUAAAGCAAUUUAUGAAGCAAUAAAAGAUAUCUACACCUACCUGGACCCCCAUAAUCUUAGAAGGCACAUACAAAGACAUUACAACACAAAAAUAAAUAAACAAUAACCUGAACGAACCCCCAUAAGCUCAACAGGUACACUCAAAGGUUAUGUUACCAAAUAGAAUUAUGAAAUGAACCCCAACACCUCGAACAUAGCAUCUUCCAAAAUCUUACAUUGGAAUAGCCAGUCCUUUUUGAAAUAUUAUAUUAGAAAGCCUUAUCGGAACAUAACAUGCUCCAGAACCUUAUAUCGGAAUGACUAUUCCUCUUUGGAAUAUUACGUCAGAAAUCCUUGAUAGAUUCUAACAUAUCCCAGAAUCUGACAUCGAGAUAUCUAGUCCUUCCUAGAAUCUUACGUCGAAAAACCUUAUAAGAACCCAAUAGUUCCUAGAAUCUUACAUCGGAGAGGCCGGUCCCACCCUGAAUCUUAUGUCGAAAUGGCCACAACAAUACCUAACAACUUUCGAAAUCUUACAUUGGAUCAGUUGUAUAAAUUUCUAUCCUACCCCGGAAUUCGACAUCGGAAUAGCCAACACACUAGCUACCCACCCCCACGUAGUCUCACCUUGGGUCAACUAUAAUUAUACAAGGAACAAAAGGGUCCUAAAUGAGUCUAGGUACACUAACCACAACCAACCAACUAAAGUUACUAAAUGGGCUACCCCAAGGUCACAACCUAGCCUGUAGGGUGGUAUCUAAGCCAAAUAAAAUCUUGAAACAAGCUCCGCGGGCUCCAAAAACCAUCUUUUUUAGCAACACUAGCCAAGCAUAGGCAAAGGCUUCUCAACAACAACACUAAGGAAAUUUCAGCCUAAUAUCAGCUCACAUGCAUAAACAGAUAUCAACAAGUCAUGCAAAACUAAAGAAUCACCUGAAAUAACUAAAAUAAGGCCAAAACAAUACAAGUAAAGAACAUAACAUGGAAUCAUGUUGGAAACCCAACCCACACUUACCUAAUUAGCAUGCUUAAAAAAUUAUAAACAAAGUCUAAGGAGAGUAGGUCGUAGCCUACCUCAAAUUCGAUAAUGUGCACUCCAAAACCUUUAAAUUGUAGUCUUUUCCUUCUAAGCCGCCUUCGAAUGGUGCAACACCAUCAUAUUAAUGAUUCCAGCGUAAAUACGGUCGCUUAAACACCCAAUUAACAAUAAUAAAAAUGGAUCAAAAAUUGAGACAAAAAUGGCAUUAUUAAACUCGCAGAAGGAAUUUCAAAACUUCUUCUGCCAAAGGGUUUCAACAAACUCAAAGGACUUAAGCCCUGAAAACAGGCAGCAUCCAAGUUUUGAAAUGCCUCGAAACAAGUCAUGCAUUCAAACUGAGAGUUCACGAUAAAUAAUCAAAAUGAAAGAGAUCGAGGGAAACUUAUUAGUCUAAUGCGACCAUCACGACUCUACCAAAACCCCAGAACACUCUCCUAACAAUUUCUAACAACAACCAACAAUUUUCAUUGCAAUUCGAGUUCAUAAAAUCUCACAAUUAAGGGAAAAGUAGUGAAAUGAAAGUUGAAAAUGGAUUAUAACUACCAGCGAUGGCAGUUAAAACAGUCACUUUGGUUGCUUAAAUGGUACCGCUAAAAUGAUCCACUAAAGCAGCUUGGCCUGGAUGGUGGGCUCUGCUAAAGCGGUACCCUGGCUGCUAAAGUGACCAUUGCUUAAGUGAUGCUAGGGCUACUAAAGCGGCUAGCCCUUUGUUGGCAGGGCUUUUUAAAGUUGCUCCUUAGCCAUAUAAGCGAACAACGCUUAAGUGGUGCCCAGUGUCAUUACCCACCACCUUACCCUUCAAAUUUUGCACUAGAAGAGGGGAGGAAGAACCUAGAGUUGUGGAGAGGUUAGUGGAACACUCUAGAUUUCCCUAGACCUUUCCUUAGAAGACUCUAGAAACCCCUUAGAUAUUUUAAGAAUACUUUGGAAUAUCCUAGAGUAUAUAGAGAAUUCUAGAGAGGGACCAAAGUGUUAAAUACUUUAGGGAGUUGUAAAGUAAUUCUAAAUUACACUUUGUCCACUAGGCUGUAGUAUAAAUAGAUGGGGCAUUCAUUUGCAAAGCAUCACACAAGUUGUAAAGCAUUCUCCAAGAAAUACAAGCCUUCUUCCAAAAUUCUCUAAGUCUUUCUUUACACUCUCUUAGCGAUCUUAAGUUCAAAAGGCUUACUUGAGCUUACAAAAUCUUUAAAGAGUAGUGAGUAAGUUGUCAAGUGCUGCACGGAGCUUUAGUGAGACUCUGUCAUGACCCGAGAGCACCCCCUAGUCGUAACAUGGCAUACUUGACCGCGAAGGGAUCGCAUGCAAGCCCUUAGCAUUAUCAUAUCAUAAGAUCGUAGAAAGGUAGGGAGAAUUUAAAACUUUAUUUAAAGCAUAAUGCCAAAAAUAUUUCAUAAAAACGGAAGUCUUUCUAACAUCUUUGUCUCAAACCAUCUAUGAAUAACAUGAAUAAAAGUCUUGGGACACAGCCCACAAAAAAAGUCUAAAACAUAAGAAAAGACAUAAAUGAAACAUAAGGGGUUUGUCCUCGAAGCUAUGAGGACUCACCAAUCUUCAAUCUUCUUGUACUUAGGAGCCUAGCCUCCAAGCAACUCAAUCUCCCAACACCCUACAUUUGAUUAGAAUGUAGGCAAUAUGCGUUGGUACAAAAUGUACCAAGUAUGAAAGCUAAAAUACCAACAUAAAACAUCUCAAAGGGGUUAGUCAACAUAAGACAUAAUCAUAAGAGACAAUAACAUAAUCAUAACAUAAACUCCAACACAAGCAUCAUAUCAUAACAAUUCAUCAUAAGACGUACAUAAGUUCAUACUUCAACCCUUAGUCUUUCAUAUUCAAGUGAACUACUUCACAAGCCACCUCCAAGUAUACUUGUACAAGGCCAAGAUAGCAUCCCAUAAUACUAUCUAAGCUAAGUACCUUCUCUUUGGUCAUUCUUGGUCAUAGUCCACCUUCAUAGUUAAGACCUAGGUUUUCAUGACAUAAGAGCACUAAACCCCUAAGUAACCCCAAGGCACACUUGUGCAAUGCAUGUGGGGCAUCCCAUAAUACCACACACACUAAGCAUAUCUUGAAGCCACCCUAAUCAUAUUUACCAUUUCUAGGUGUCACUAUAGACCGACUUCAUAUUGGCAAGGAACUUAUCAACUUAAGUCAAUCAUAUCAUGGAAGGCAACUAUAGCAACAAUCCAAGCUAGGCAUACAUCACAUAAGAUCACACUUCAUAAGUAGCUUCAAGUCAUACUUGUGCCAUGUAUGAAUGACAUCCCAUACUACCACUCACACUAAGUACUCAUUUAGGCUAGCUUACUCAAUGCUAAUUAUUUAUCAUUCUAGACUAUCAAAGUAUAACAUACUAUCAUGCUAGACCUAACCACCAUGGAAAACAUCCUAUCAUACAAUCCAAGCUAUCAAAGGAAGGAUACAAGUAUACCAACCUAGCCACCAUGCAACCAUUCAAUAAGAUGCAAGCUAUCCUUAGGGGAGUGUGAAUCCUCAACCCUAAGCUAUCCUUAGGAGAGUAUGAUGUCUCAAUCCUAAGCUACCAUGAAAUGGUCUUGGCCUAACCAAGUCAAGCUACCAUGAAAUGCAUUCUAACAAUGCUAGUUCAAGCUACCCAUUGGAGAGUAUAGAUCCUCAAUCCUAGGCUACCAUGCCUAUACUAAUGCAAGCUACCAUAAAAAGCAUCCUACCAAUGCUAGUUCAAGCUAACCUUAGGAGAGCUAAUUCCUCAAUCCCAAGCUACCAUGGGAUCUACCAUCCCAAGCUACAUAAUUCAACUAUCCAAGAAGGAAUCAUAAGACUCAACCUCAAGCUAUUCUAUGCUAACGAGCACAAUCAACAAACUAGUCUAGAUCACAAUACACAUCAUUCAUAAGCCUUAAUCAUAGACAAUUCUAAGCAUAAUUCAUCAUAGAGUCCCAAUUCUAAUCAUUCAAUUCAUAUUAUAUCAUACAUGCAUAAGCCUAGUUCAAUUCAUGAUUUCAAAUUCCCAUUCUUGGAUAAGUUCUAUACAUGGUGAUAACUCUAGAAAAUCUAUCAAGAACCAUCAAUUUCUCAUCAAAAGAUCUAAACCCACAUACUUAGAAAAUUAGGGUUAGACAAGGAAUUCACAUAAAUUCUUCAUAAUAUCAUGAAUCAAUACUAAAUUAAUCAUAUAUGAGUAGUAUCCAACACUUUGGAAUCGUACCCACCGAAAACCCAUACAUUGGAAGUAACCCUAGCUUAAAUUGGGGUUCUUCUUCACAAAUCUUCUGGGUUUCUAGGGGACUCUAUGGGUGGAAGAACCCAUAGAUGAAAAUCUAAACAUACCUUAAACAAAUCCCUAGCAGAAGCCUUAAGCAAUGGAGCCUUGGAUCUUGACCUUAGCUUCAACCCUAGCUUCUUCUUCAAUGGAGGUUCUUCUUAGAGAGAGAAAUAUUUGAAAGAGGAGUGAUUUGGGUUUUUGAAUUGAGUCUAAUGUAAAGUUGCUUAAACUUGGGGUCUAAGGACUUAAAAUAGUCUUUGUAUGUGAAUAAAAGACAUACAAAACGACCCCCACUUAAACCUAGUCGAAUAGGAUUUUACCCAAAUGUCCCUCACUUGGCAGCCCCAUCCCAGGCACCACAGCCACUUGGACGGUCCGUGAAGGGCACCACGGUCCGUGGUGGUGCCCGUGGUCCCUUGAACAGUAGCUCCACCAACUUGCCAAGACCCUAAAACACCCUAAAACACUAAGGCACCUUCACAGGCACUUUGACGGGUCGUGGUCAAGCAAACGGCUCGUGAAGUUCCUUGUGAACUUGGGGCAAAGUCUUGGCCUGGCCUCCCAAGUGUCUAAGGCAUCUCCAAGGACCCCUUCACGGACCGUGGUCCACACCACUAGUCGUGAAGGUGGUCGUGAACCUUGGGCAGUAGCUGCCAAGGUUGGGCAGCCUUGGCCCCUUGGCAUAGGCUUUCCCUUUUGCCUGGGUAGUUGCCCUUCCCAUGCACACCCAAACUCUUAAAGGUCAUCUAGGCUACUAGGUCUAAUACAUAUCUUGAUGUUCAACCAUUAAACUCUUCAUUCUAAACACAUAAAAUCUCAUCUACAACUCUAUUUCCCAUACAUCAAGUCUUAGAACCCUAGCUUGUGGCUCUAGUUUAGUCUACAAAUUUUCGGGGCAUUACAGACUCUAAGUCUGUGACACCAGGGUCGCUUAGGCGGCUACACCAACAUCAGACACCAAAAAAUUUAGCCAAGUCCUAGUGGACUUUGCUUGGGUUCUUGGGAUUGGUUCGAAAACUCGUGCAUACACACGAACUAUGCUACCCUUCUAAAUUCGGCAUUCCAAACUCAAUGUAGAUGUCAAAACUUCAAACAGAGGUAUAGGGCUAGGCGUUUCGUCGGUUUGGUUCGGUUUGUAAAUUUUGGUUCGGUUUUUCAGUUUUCGGUUUGGCCAAAUGUGAAACCAAACCAAAAUGAAAUAAAUUCGAUUUGGUUAGGUUAUUAUAAUUUCGGUUCGGCUUAUUUUGGUUUGGUUUUCGGUUUAACCAAAUUUAAUUAACAGUGGCAUGUGGCAUAUGGAUAAUUUUAGUAAAUUGAAAAAAAAAAGCUUCAGAAAUGCAGGAAAUGAAAAAAAAAGGCAUCAGAACAAGUGCAGACUUCAGAUGUGUAGGUAUUUAACAUUGUCAUAUUCUUUUGCAUAUUCUCAUCUCUGCAGGAACUGAACAAGUGCAUAUUCUCAUCUCUUGUGAGCACAAUUCAACAAGUGCAGGACACAACUCACAAGUCUGUCACAACUUACAACUUUUGUAAGCACAACAAGUGCAUAUUCUCAUCUCUUUACAAGCAGGUCACAAGUCACAACUCACAAGCCUUUUACUUUCACAACUCACAGAAAAGCAGAAAUGGAAAGCAGUUUGACCAAUGUUGCCGCAAGCAUUUGUUGCCAAGGAGCAGACAAAUUUCAACAAACAUUUAACUUGCAACUUCCAAUAUCAUUGACUAAAAUAUCCAAACAAAACUGAUAAUUCUUGUCCAAGCAGUCCAGCAGGCAGCAACAUUAACAAACUAGUCGAGAAUAAGAAUAAAAAGACUAUCAAGAGUCAAGAUAACAACACUAGAAAAUUCAACAAACUUGUGCCCAACCCUAAAAUAUAGUUAGUUACAAACUACAGUUGCCAGUAGGCAACAUUGCAAUUUGCAGCAACCAAAAGAUUUAGAAAACCAACAAAACAUUGUUGUGCAACCUCCAGUGCAAUAGCUCCCAAGUUCCAAGUUCCAAUAGAUAGCAACCAAGAAAAUAACAAAACAUUGAUGUGCCUGCGAGAAAAUAGAACUCUUUAGACAAAUGAUCUACAUUUCAUAAUAAAAUAUAUAAAACUAUCAAGAAAGUUUUUGUAAAUAAGUUCUUUACUUACCCAUUACCACGCAUCACUAGUUGAUAGUUGAACUUACAAAUUGCAACUAUAUAUCAAUAAUACUAGAUUCAGUCCCACUACAAGCAAAAUCUAAAAGAAUAUGAAAGAAUUUGUUAGUUGUUAAGAAACAUAAGAAAGAAAAUUAUUUUCAAGAUAAUUAAUACAAAUACCAAAUUCUUACCAAGUUUAAGUUGCUGAGGAUACUCUAAAUCUUCCUCAAUAUUGAUUGGAAAAGGCUCACUUCUAAGCCAAUCUUGAACACAAAUAAGAGAUUGCGCAAGUUUAGGAGUUAAUGAACUCCUAAAGGGAUCAAGAAAACGACCUCAUGUGCUGAAUGCACAUUCUGAUGCGACGCUUGAAAUGGGAAUGGCUAACACAUCACGAACCAUCUCCGCGAGAAUAGAAAUCUCUGCUCAUUAACUUUCCACCACAUUAAUAUAUCAAAUUCAUCACUAUUUGGCUCAAUAUCUUCAGCAAGAUAUCUUUCCAAUUCUGAUUUACUACCUGAACUUCCACUAACUUCUUUAUGCUUCUCAAAUUGUUGUUUCGUUCUCAUUCUUCCUCUAUUUACAAAGUUGUCACAACCACUCACACUAGAUAUACUUGAUGAGUUGUCAGAUGAAUUGGGUGAAGAUGGUACAUGUGAAGAGCUUUUUGAGGAUUUCUUAACAUAAUAAUCAAACAAGUUUUUCAUGUAUUUUUCACUUCUGAACAUAGCUUGUCCCCUACUUCUUUUCCAAACAUAUCCACAAUUGCAAAUGGAACAUAAUCAAGCUUGUUACGGGGAUCCAACACUGAUGAAAUAAAGAUCAUCUUGUUCAUUUUAUGUGGUUCACCCCAAUACUUUUUGAACUUUUCCUUCAUACUUUUUGCCAUUUCUUUCAAAUUACCAUCUUCAUUUUCCAUCAUCUCUUUCAAAAUAAGAUUAAGUUCAGCAAUUUCAACAAAGUGUGUAUUGCUAGUGACAUAAUUAGAACCAGAGACCUUCAAAGUAAGUACAUAAAAAGUUUCAAGAAAUUUCACCAUUGACCUCACAUUUUUCCAGUCAGCACUUUUCCAGUCAGCACUUGUAAGAAUAUUUGCACUAGUUCUAUCUUCAUCUUCAGAAGAAAUAGAACAAAAGGUACGAAGAUGAUUCAAGUAUCCAAUAUCAUAAAAACUAUAUCUUUCAAAUGUAAGCUCAUAAUGUUGUGCUACAUCAAGCAUCGAAUAUGUAGAGUUCCACCUAGUGGGAACAUCUAAACACAAUGAUUUCUUACAAGCUAUCAAUUGAGAUUCACAACAUUCUUUGAACUUUCUAAGUCUUGCGGGAGAUUGUUUAAUGUACUUCAUGGCUUGUCUCACUAGCUUGACAGACUUACCAAUUUCCUUCAACCCAUCUUGCAUAAUAAGAUUAAGGAUAUGUGCCAUACACCUCACAUGAAAAUGGUCACCAUCCAUAAUGUUAAUUCCCCAAUUACUCAAUUGUUUAUACAUUUCUUUCACAGUAACAUCAUUAGAACUAGCAUUAUCAACUGUAAUAGUAAACACAUUAUCCAAACCCCAUUCAAGCAAACAAUUAGUAAUGCAAGAUGCCAUAUCCCCACCUUUAUGACUAGAAAUAGGACAAAAAUUUAUUAUUCUUUUAUGCAAAGUCCAAUUUCUAUCUAUAAAGUGGGUUGUCAACCACAUGUAGUUGAUUUUUUGUAUAGAGGUCCAAGUAUCUGUCGUAAGACAAACUCUGGGACGUGCUUCUUUGAAAACCUUCUUAAAAAGUUGUCUUUCUUCAAGCUAUAGUUCAUAACAAUCUCUCGUCACGGUUCUACGAGAAGGAAUAUGAAAUUGUGGCACUGUAACUCUCAUGAAGUUUUUAAAACCCUCUUUCUCAACAAAACUAAACGGUAGAUCGUCAACAAUUAUCAUUUUGGCUAAAGCUCUCCUACUUUGUGCUUGGUCAAAUUUCCAAGUGCUAAUCACCCCUUCCUUUGCUCUUGUUGAAGAUGGUAGAAAAUUAAUUAGAUUUUGACCUUUAUCUACGGUGUCACGAGGAAAUUUAGGACAUAUUCUCAUAUGAUUAUUCUUUGACGAUGUACCAUUAGUCGAUGUAGAAGCUGCAUAAGGUUUCUCACAAUACUUGCAUUUGGCUUUCUUAGCUCCACUUUCAUCAGUGAACUUGUCAAAAUGCUUCCAACAAAUAGCUCUAGGUUCCAUGUUUUUUCUUUUAUUUGAAGUAUCAACAUCAACUUCAACCUCAUUGGGAGAUGAGGUGUUAGGUAUGCUGUCAUUUGAACCUCCACUUUCACUUAUCUUACUUCCAAUUUGUGUCAAUACUAGUAAAAAAAGUAGAAAAAAAACAAGAAAUAACAACAAUCAGAAAGACGCAGUACAUUACAGUUCACAAAUAAUCACAAAGUUGCAUACUUGCAUUCAAUGAUUAAACUCAUGCAGUUCAGUUGCGGUUCAGAACUCAAAAGAACAAUAAUCACGUAGUACAUUACAGACUUACAGUUCACUAACCGACUCACUGAUCAGUCCCUAACUAACAUACACUUAAACAUAAUAGGCAGAACUUUCAUGGACCAUGGUAGAGGAUCAGGAUACUACCAACUUGACUAACAAUAAGCAGAGGCAUAAUAAUAUUAUUUCACAUUAAUCCCCAAUGUACAAGUCCCCGUAGUUUAUACUACAAUCAAGCAACUAAACUGCUAACUUCUAAGUGCUAAGAUAUUGUUCCAUAUGAACUCUUUGUUAUUGAUCAACACUCAAUUGUCUUUUCCAGUGAUUUGAGCAAUCACUGGAAGAUGUUGCGGGCGUUUUGUCGAACACAUUUGUUCUCACCCAAAGUGGUAAAGUCACUAGUCAGUGGUCACAGACUGCAAUGAGGGAGAAAAAAGUGUCGGAAAUGAUACAUUUUCUUAGGUCCAAGAAAGGGGAAACUGUGAAAAUUUCUGAAAUUUUGUUUGGUACCAUUUUAAACAUGUUACGGAACCUUUUCUUUUCAAAAGAUUUAUGUGAUUUGAAUUAUGAACGAACACUAGUGGGAUCAAACGUGUUUUAACUUUUUCAUUCCCCUAUAACUAAAUAAAGAUAUGUUGUUACAUACUUACAUUUACAGGGUAUGACAAAUUGAUCAACUUACAAGUACACUGUAUACCCUUCAAUACUAACUACUCAAGUACUCAUCUUGUAUUUAAAAUUGAAUAUAGCAUAAUAAAGAUUUCUAGAUGAAGUUAAGACUUAAGUCGCGAUGAGCAGUGGCCAAUGAGCAGUGAGCACUGACCUUCGACUAUUGAGUCGCGAGCACUAAGCAGACAACAGUUGUGGGUUGCGAGUACUUAGCGUCAUCGAGGAUCCAGGAGCAGCGGCAGGCUUGAGACGACGAGUUGAGAGAUGAGAGUUGAGAGACGAGCUCGUAGAUGCGGCGUAACUGAGAGUCUAAGAUGAGAGUUGAAACUUAUGGACUACGGUGGUCACAUAUUAGGGAUUUCUAAAUUCAGAUUGGAAUUUGGGCUGGGCAUGGGAUAUUGGGCUGAGAGUUGUAUUUUUAUAAAAGGAAUGGGUUGAGAUUUAAUGAAGGGGUAAAGAAUAUAUAUAUCUAAUUUUGAUUUUUCCGGUUAACCGAUUUUUUAAGCUAAAAAAUUGAAAACCGAAUCGAAAAACUAAAAUAUUGAAAAUCAAAAUCGAAACCGACCGAAAUAACCAAAAAACCAAAACCAAAACUGAAAUUUAAAAAAAAUCGGUUCGGUUUGGUCGGUUUUUUUGGCUUUAACCAUAUUAUGCCCAACCCUACAGAGGUAGGUUCCAUACCCAAGGAUCUAUUUUAGACAAAAUCCACAAGAUAGCUCAAAUUGAGCUCGAAAGUGUCGGGACCCAAACCACGGGUCUUUCUAGACCAAAUCAAUGUUCCAGAGAUAACGUAACCAUCAAAAUUGCUUUUUGAAACCGUUUGUCUAAAGUUGUGAACAAAGUCAAACGUUUUAAAUUUCAAAAGCUCCAAAACAUAAAAAUCACAUAAAACCAAAUGAACGACCAGGUGACUGAACUAUUAGCCCUAGCAAGUCAUAAAUGACUUAGGGUCUCUAUAUGAACGCUCUAAACGUCGAAAAAAUAUCACAAAAUAGUAAAAAUGUCCUAGAGGGUCAUUACAACAUCCACUACUAAAAGAAAUUUUGUCCUUGAAAGUAAAGAGUGAAGAAGUACCUUAAGUCUUGAACAUGUGGGGAUACUUGCCCGCAAGUCAUGCUGAGUCUUCCAGGUAGCUUCCUCAAUCGGACAGGGCCUCUGCUAGACCUUAACCGUAUGUAUUUCUCUCAAAUGCAAUUAUCUGACAUCUCUAGCCAAAAUAGCAACUAACUCUUACACAAAGGUCAAAUGGUCAUUUAACUAGACUACGUCAUAUGGAAGCACAUGGGAAACAUCAAGAACUACCGGAGAAGCGUAGAUAUAUGGAAAACUAGAUGAACAACCGAAUAAGUUAGUGGAAAGGCCAAUUCAUAUGCAACAUCACCAACAACCCAAAUGAUCUUAAAAGGUCCAAUAUACAUGGGGCUAAGCUUACCCUGCCUCCUGAAUCUCAUCACACCCUUUAAGGGCGACACUCAGAGGAAGACAAGAUCACCAACACCAAACCUCAAAGGAUGAUGCAUACGGUUAGCAUAACUCUUCUACCUACUUUGAGCCUCUCGUAGCCUAUUCGAAAUAACACAACAAACUUAGGCCAAAGCAUCCUGAAGCUAAUUUGUGCCACUUGACCUAGGAUCUAAAGUCUUAAACCAACCAACAAGAGAUCAACAAUGCCUACCAUAUAAUGCCUCAAAUGUGGCCAUGUGAAUACUCGAAUGGUACAUGUUGUUAUAAGCAAACUCCACCAAAGCUAAAAAUUGAUCCUACUACCCUCUAAAAUCUAACACAAAAGCUCGAAGCAUAUCCUCCAAAACCUGAAUGGUUCAUUUCGAAUUCCCAUUGUUCUAUAGGUGAAAUGUUGUACUAAGAUCAACCCAUGUACCCAACUCCUUUUGGAAUGCUCUCCUGAAGCUAGAAAUGAACUAAUAACAUCUAUCAUAGAUAAUGGAAACCGCACCCCAUGAAGACGAACCACCUCUUAGACAUAGAUACUGCUAACCUCUCAAUACUGUAGAAAGACAUAAUAGGCAAGAAAUGAGCCGACUUGGUCAAUUGAUCCACGAUGACCCAAAUAAUAAGAACACCUCAAAAAGUCCUAGUGACCCCAUAAUGAAGUCCAUAGUGAUCCUCUCCCACUUCUUCUUAUGAAUGGGUAAUCUCUGAAACUUAUCAACAAGCCUCAAAUGCUCGGUCUUCACCUGCUGACAACACAUGUUAUGGGUUAUGUUGUCCACUAUAUCCCUCUUCAUACCACUCCACCAAUAAUGCUACCUCAAAUCUUUAUACAUCUUAGUUGUGUCUGGGUGAAUGGAAUACUUGGAGUUGUGAGCAUCCUAAAGUAUCUGAAUCAAAUCCCCAACUCUAGGAACACAAAUACGACCUCCAAAUCUUAAAACACCCUUAGAGUCUAAGGUCACCUUACCACCAUCACCACUCAGAACUUGAUUAUGGAUAGUCACCAAACCCAUAUCCUCGAACUGUCAGCCAUAAAUCUCCCUAACAAAAUGGAAUGAGCCUCAAUACAAGUGUUUCAUAAGCUAAAUGUGUGGGAAGAUGUUCCAUAGAAUCCCAGAAGCUUGGAGGAAAAAUGCGCUCAAGAUUAGUCAAGAUGAGAGGAAUAUUUCUUUCUAAUUGUCUCAUAUGUUCCUCAGUUAUUGCGGUAGAAGUGAGAUCUUUAAUAAAAAACUCAACUCUGUCAAUGGUUCCCACACAUUUCGUGGAAGCAAAUCUUGAAAUGCAAUAGGUAUGAGUUGUUGCAUAAAUACAUGACAAUCAUGACUCUUCAUACCAAAGAGUUUAAGCUUGUUCAUGUCAACACAUCUUCCCAUGUUAGACACAUAACCAUAAGGAAAUCUCAACUCUUGCAACCACUUACAAAGCACUUUUUUGGCAUUAUCAUCUAGCAUGUAACAAGCUUUUGGGUACUUUUUAGUAAUUUCAUCCUGAUGCAACUCUGGACGAUUGCAAAGUACUUUUAAAUCUUCUCUAGAUUUGGUAUUGUCCUUUGUUUUUCCCUUGACAUUCAUGAUGGUGUUAAAAAUGUUAUCGAACACAUUUGUUUCUAUGUGCAUCACAUCAAGGUUAUGCCAAAUAAGAUUUGUUUUCCAGUAAGGUAAGUCCCAAAAUAUACUUCUUUUCUUCCAACCACAUAAACUACUCUUUGAGAUUCUUGCAUUCACCUUGUCAGAACCAAGUUCUGUCACUUUCAUGAGUCCCAAAUCCUCAAUAUCUCUAAGUAUUUGUAAACCUGAUUGUUCAGUAGAUGCAACCUUAUGUACUAUUUGACCCUUCUAGAACCACUCUUUGUUUUUUCGCCAUGGAUGAUCUGGUGGUAAGAACUUUCUGUAAUUGUCAAACCAUGAGACUUUUCUACCAUUGGAUAGUGAAAAAGCAUCAGAAUCUUUCAAGCAAUAAGGACAAGCUAAUUUUCCUGCUGUACUUGAACCUGACAACAUUGAGUACGCUGGAAAAUCACUUAUUGUCCACAUCAAUGCAACUUGCAUUUGAAAAUUAUUUUUACUUGAAACAUCAUAUGUUUGGACUUCCACCUCCCAUAAUUCUUUCAACUCUUCAAUGAGGGGUUGCAAAAAGACAUCAUUUUUCUGCUUUGGAUUUUUUGGACCAUGUAUAAUCACAGAUAAAAACAUGUAUUCGUCCUUCAUGCACAUCCAAUGUGGUAAAUUAUAUGGUGUAACUAUCACAGGCCAAGAGGAAUAUUAUUGGCCUGAUUGACCAAAUGGUUGAAACCCAUCAGUAGACAAACCCAAUCUAACAUUUAUAACUUCAGAUGCAGAAUGUGGAUACGUCUGAUCAAAAUGCUUCCAAGCUGGAAAGUUUGAGGGAUGACGCAUGACACCAUCUUUUUCAUGCUCUGAAUGUUAUCUCAUAUGUUUUGUUGUUGCAUUAGAUGCAUACAACCUUUGUAGACGUGGAGUUAAAGGAAAAUAAUACAUCUUCUUAUAAGAAAUAUUAGUUUUCUUCUUGGAACGUUGAUGUUUUGAUCUCUUAAAUUGAGGAUGAGCGCAAAAUUUGCAAUUGAUUAGUUCACUGUCCUCACGCCAAUAAAGCAUACAUCCAUUUUUGCAACAAUCAAUCUUCUCGACUGGCAAGCCUAAUCCUCGCAUUAGUCUUUUUAGUACCAUAGAAGCUAUCGAUCAUUUUGUUAUCACUUGGCAUCAAUUCUGAUAUAAAUUGACAUAACUCAUCAUACAACCUUUCCGAAAAAUGAUGUUAUGCCUUAAGAUUCAACAAACGAGCAACAACAGACAAUUGUGUAUGUCCAUGUGGCUGUGGCUCACGCUAAUAAAGCAUACAUCCAUUUUUGCAACAAUCAAUCUUCUCGACUGGCAAGCCUAAUCCUCGCAUUAGUCUUUUUAGUACCAUAGAAGCUAUCGAUCAUUUUGUUAUCACUUGGCAUCAAUUUUGAUAUAAACUGACAUAACUCAUUAUACAAGCUUUCCGAAAAAUGAUGUUAUGCCUUAAGAUUCAACAAACGAGCAACAACAGACAAUUGUGUAUGUCCAUGUGGAUUUCCCAUCCAAAUCUCUUGUUCCGAUGCUUUGAGCAUAUCAUAAAUAUGUUGUGUUGUUGGAUUUGGGUCCUCUUCCACGUUACCAUUAUAAGAAGGCCCAAUAACAUCUAAAACCAUUGACCGGAAUGCAUUAUGGGAUUGAGGAUUCACGGUUUCACCAAAAGCUUCUUCUUGAUGAUCAUUAAGCACACUUGGAUUUGAAAUAUAACUUUCUCCAUGGUGAUACCAACAGUAAUGAUCUGGUACAAAGCCAUAAGUUCCUAGAUGUGUCAUAACUGUAAACUCAUCCAAAAUAUUUUUAUUUCAACACUUACAAUGAUUACAAGGACAUCUUAACUUCUCACCACCAUCCAUGCACUAUGGAUGUCUUUUAGCAAAUGCAACAAAGUUCUCAACUCCAUCAAUACACUUUGGAUUUAUGAAUCCAUCUUCCAGUAUUCUAACAUGCAUCCACUCACAAUCAGAGUUACCCAUAACAUAUACUCUGACACAAAUAAUAAAUGUGUUAAAACUUACAUGAUGACUACUAAUUUUUAUAUGACACUAGAACCUAGAGGUAGCAAAAUAUAAUGAAUUCAAAUUCAUAAACAAUCAGUUAAUCACCAAAAGUUAUAGUAGUUAUUGUUAUACAAUUUAAAUGUACACUAGAAAUAGUGUACUAUUUUAUUUUAAAUAAUACUACAUGUCAAGGUGAUCAUGUAAAAACAGAUAUGCCAAAGAUGUAUUCAAUUUAUAAGCUUCAUUCUACUCGUACGACACCAAUAUCUUUUUAAGUGAUUUAAUUACUACGAAGAAGAAACUAACCUUUAGCAAAUGUGAUAAUAUGUUUUGUAUCCUACUUGGUCACAUAAAAUAAAUGCUUUAAGAUGUAAAUUAUCCGCUUACCUAACUUAAGCAAUGAUAGAAACACCAAUGUAGAAAUCUUCUAGAAACUAAUAGACAUACACGAACUACCUAAAAAAGUUUAUAGAACAAAAGAGAAUGAGAUAAGAACUGAUGUAAAAGAGAUUAUUUUCUAAUACAUUAAAAGCACAAGUUGAUGAAGAUUCUUUUUUCUCUUUAGAAUAUACAUAAUUACAUUGUUCUUUAGGAACAAACAAAUAAAUAGGUGUUUAGUCAUUAACAAAGUGACAUUUGAAACAAAAAUAGUAUUCAUGAAGUUGAAAAAUUGUAUUGAAAAUUGAAAUUGUGUUUUAACAUGCAUUUGACUUUUAAAAAAAGAAGUUGAAGUUUUGUAAGUGAGUGAAAAAAUUCCAGUUCUUCAAAUUUGAAACAUUCACCUUCAAAAACCAACCAAAAAUUGUUCUAAUUUAUAACUAAAAAUAUUUCGGAAAAAAAACCUAAUAGGACCUAAUAAAUGCAAAAAGAGAAUGCAAUUCAUCAAAAUUGAAGGCCAACCAUACAUAUGAACCUUAGGUCAUCAAUGACAACUCCAAAUUUGUUUACUGUCCAAGAAAAACAUAAAAAAAUAAAAAAUUGAAAGAAUAACAACAUUAUAGAGAAGAUACCAAUCAUCAAAAAAGUUGUGAAUUUUAGCACAUCAAUGACAAAAUCUAAUGGCAACAUGCCUCCACUAAAGCUUGUUGUAUGUGUAAAUCUACGGUAACCCAUAUGAAUACAACACACAUAAAAAAAAAUUAAAACUUACACCCAAAUCAAUUAGGUAAAGGAUCCAAUUUAAUAAUUUGAUGAAUACCAAUAAAAAGGAGCUAUAUAAUAGUGAAGAGUAUAAUGGACCCAAUAUCAAAAACUAAAAAUUAUUCACUUUAUAACAUUGAUUCAAGAAAAAUAGGGACAAAUCUCAGCAAGAGUAUAAAGAAUCAAAAUAUUGUUCAUUGUAGAUAAAAUGAAAAGAAAGAUUCAUACCUAUGAGCAAUAUAGCAACGGAAUCAAAGUUUGGAUGAGUUCAAAAUCACAACUAUAGUGUUGAAAGAGUGCGAGGUAGAAGAAAGGAAGAACACCCAUUGUAGUUCUCUGACUUCUCUCUAUAACCCAAUUUUCUAAUGGAAUAAAGGAGUUAAAGGUGGGAAAACUAAAAGUGCUGAAAAUUUUGGGGGAAAGGUAAAAGGUCAUCUAAUAUUUUUUAAAAUUUUCGCGAAAAAAAUGGUUCAUUAAGUUAAAGAUUUUAUGAUUUAUUGUCUUUUUAUUAAAUUGAGAUGGAAUGUAAAUCCGUCAUAAUUUUUGUGAUGAUUUUGUGACGACAUAUAUUCAUUUAUUUUUAUUCUCUAUCAUUUUGUGACGGAAAUGUUCUGUCACAAAACUUAUAUUAAAUAUUUGUUACAAAUUUGUCACAAAUCCGUCAAUAUCAGAAUUUUAGUAGGUAAAAAAAUUCUUUUAAUUUUUUUUUAUUUAGCUUGCAUUGACCAUGAUUGUGAGUUAUGUUUUCUAACAUGUUAUUUUAUGAUUUAGCUUGGUCAUUGCAUGUCAUAUAAAGUCCUUUUUAGCAUAAUUUCAUAACUCUUAUGCAUUGCUAUCAUACUUAGUUGUCACGACCCAAGCCUAGGGCCUAGACGUGACCGGCGAAUGGGGGAACCCGAAGGAACCCCAAACAAGCCUCAUAGCGUAUCAUUACACAUCCUUGGUCGCGGAAGCAAUUAAAAUGACCAUAAGCGAUAAGCAUAAUCGAAAGGGGGGAAAUCGGGACUAAGGGAGCAAGAAGAAAACAAAAAAGGAAUGAUACAUAAAUACCAUAGAUGAGUCAAGCUCAAGCAUAAUACACAACUUGUCCAACACCACCUCUAAACAUGGGUACUUAGCGGGGGCCAAGACAAACUACCGGGCUCACCCUCAUAGUCAAAACAUAACUAAAAAGGAAAAGUCUUAUACAUAGCAAAAGAUCAUAAGCAACGUCCCCGGAAUGGAGGACUCACCAAUAACCUCGAUAGAAAAUUGUAUUAGCCACGCGGAGGAGGAUGGUCGAAGUGGUGCUCCG
rnacentral:lncRNA from 1 species